rnacentral:rRNA from 1 species
UACGUAGGCAGCGAGCGUUGUUCGGAGUUACUGGGCGUAAAGAGUGCGUAGGCGGUUUUCUAAGUUUGGUGUGAAAUCUCCCGGCUUAACUGGGAGGGUGCGCCGAAAACUGGAAGGCUUGAGUAUGGGAGAGGUAAGCGGAAUCCCUGGUGUAGCCGUGAAAUGCGUAGAUAUCAGGAGGAACACCUGCGGUGUAGACGGCUUACUGGACCAUAACUGACGCUGAGGCACGAAAGCGUGGGUAGCAAACAGG